GUGAACGCUGGCGGUAGGCCUAACACAUGCAAGUCGAACGGCAGCACAGUAAGAGCUUGCUCUUACGGGUGGCGAGUGGCGGACGGGUGAGGAAUACAUCGGAAUCUACUUUUUCGUGGGGGAUAACGUAGGGAAACUUACGCUAAUACCGCAUACGACCUACGGGUGAAAGCAGGGGAUCUUCGGACCUUGCGCGAUUGAAUGAGCCGAUGUCGGAUUAGCUAGUUGGCGGGGUAAAGGCCCACCAAGGCGACGAUCCGUAGCUGGUCUAAGAGGAUGAUCAGCCACACUGGAACUGAGACACGGUCCAGACUCCUACGGGAGGCAGCAGUGGGGAAUAUUGGACAAUGGGCGCAAGCCUGAUCCAGCCAUACCGCGUGGGUGAAGAAGGCCUUCGGGUUGUAAAGCCCUUUUGUUGGGAAAGAAAAGCAGCAGGUUAAUACCCCGCUGUUCUGACGGUACCCAAAGAAUAAGCACCGGCUAACUUCGUG
rnacentral:rRNA from 1 species